ensembl:lncRNA
CUCUCUCUCUGUACUGUACACGGCAGAUUUUGACAGAUAACAGCCCCUGCGCUCCCAUUGGCCGAGCUGAGGUGAGUGGCAGGGGCUGCGGUCCCGCCCCCUCCCGGUCGGUCGCUGCACAUGGAUCAGACUGGUGAGUGAGCGAGAGAGCCGGGAGGGACCAGGAGAGAGAGAGAGAGGAGACAGGAAGAGGGGGAGCAGGCUACGGAGACGGAGGAGAGGAACGGAGAGAGACGGGCUGGAGAGGAGCAGAAAGGGAGGAGAAGGGGUGAGACGGUGAGAGGCAGGGAGCAGGAUGUCCAUGUGAGGAUCAGAGGACGGAUCCAGGACGUUUUCUAGUUUAUGAAUCACGACAGGAGACCUGCUUGGUCUCCUCGGGUCUUAUCAAGGAUAUCAGCAAGGUCGUCACCGAACGUCCCAGGUGGGAACUGAAGUCCUUCCACCACUGGCUGGAUGUAUCACCCAGCGGAGCCCUACCCAGGCCGAGCCAGCUGGUACCCCCAGCCCAACGGAGGUCCCGAUAGAGGCCAGUGGGGUCCGAUGAGCGACCGCACAUGGAGCCCCAGCAACAGGUUUCAUGGAGGCCAUAGCCAACCUCAACGCCCACACACACACCACCUCUACACAAGGGGGGAACGGAAAUCAUCCCAGCACUCCCAAGACAAGGUUCCCCCCCGGGGACACAGAUCACCGUUACACUCCUGGGAGCACAAGAACCAGCCCUACGAAGGCCACACCUCCUCCCAGCGUAGCUCCUCCCACGCAUUCCAGAACUGGACUCGAACCCACGGCGGGAACGGGCCUCCCUCAGGUCCUCCGGGGGAACUCUACGCCCCCUGGAGGGAGGAUGACAGCCACCCAAGGGGGAGCCCCC